rnacentral:rRNA from 1 species
AUCUAUUGAAUAUUCUUGAUGGGUUGUAGCUGGCUCUUCGGAGCAUGUGCACGCCUGUCUUGACUUUAUUCAUCCACCUGUGCACCUUUUGUAGUCUUGGGGGUUCAGAGCAGUCAACCGUCGGACGGGCUGUCCGGAUGUGAGGAAUGCCAAGUGCGGACGCAUGCGGCUCUCUUCAAAAUGACUUGCAAAGCUUCCCUCGAGUACUAUGUAUUCAUACACCACGUCGUAUGUUGUAGAAUGUGAUCAAUGGGGUUAUGUGCCUAUAAUAAUCAUAUACAACUUUCAGCAACGGAUCUCUUGGCUCUCGCAUCGAUGAAGAACGCAGCGAAAUGCGAUAAGUAAUGUGAAUUGCAGAAUUCAGUGAAUCAUCGAAUCUUUGAACGCACCUUGCGCUCCUUGGUANUCCGAGGAGCAUGCCUGUUUGAGUGUCAUUAAAUUCUCAACCCCUCAAGCUUUUGCGAGCUUCGAUGGGGCUUGGAUGGUGGGAGUUUGCGGGCCUCUAGAGGUCGGCUCUCCUGAAAUACAUUAGCAGAACCGUUUGCAGUCCUGUCACUAGUGUGAUAAUUAUCUACACUGUGAUGAUUGCUCUCUGGCUAGUUCAGCUACCAACCGUCCACUGCUGGACAACUUACUGAAAUUCUUGACCUCAAAUCAGGUAGGACUACCCGCUGAACUUAAGCAUAUCAAUAAGCGGAGGAAAAGAAACUAACAAGGAUUCCCCUAGUAACUGCGAGUGAAGCGGGAAAAGCUCAAAUUUAAAAUCUGGCGGUCUCUGGCCGUCCGAGUUGUAAUCUAGAGAAGUGCUGCCCGCGCUGGACCGUGUACAAGUCUCCUGGAAUGGAGCGUCAUAGAGGGUGAGAAUCCCGUCUCUGACACGGACUACCAGGGCUUUGUGGUACGCUCUCAAAGAGUCGAGUUGUUUGGGAAUGCAGCUCUAAAUGGGUGGUACAUUCCAUCUAAAGCUAAAUAUUGGCGAGAGACCGAUAGCGAACAAGUACCGUGAGGGAAAGAUGAAAAGAACUUU